CAGGAAGAUAUCAGACUUUUCAUGAAGCCCGGCAGGCAGAUGUGUUGCUGACCUACACCUAACCCUAACCGACCUCUGACCCCGGGAUGGAGAAAGACCAAAAGCAGCACGACAGAAGGCAGUUAAUGAAAGAGUGGAGGCCACGCAGGUGACUUCCAUGUGCAGACAAGAAGUGAGACAAGAAGGUUCCUGGUCCUACCUUGUGGCUCCGGAAGGGCGGCUCAGGGUAGGAGAGCUGCCCGAGUCUGGUGUGCUCUGAGGCGGCCAGAGGCUGCGGAGGAGGCGGGUGGAAGUCUUUGACACAUCCGCCAGCCUCUCCGGGACUAAUGUGGAGGUGAAGCCGAGAAAUUAAGGCGGAAAUCGGGCUUAGAAAGUUGUAAAGAUGCGCCCCACGCUGGUUCUCAUGCUCCGAACAAGGUGGCGUCCACUCGCUACAAAGACGGACUCGCCCGAAUGAAAAGUGUGACUUGAAAAGUUCCCCUUUGUUGUAGCGGAAGAGAAGCGGCUUUGAGGCUACUGCACUGCGGCGUGAGGGUGCUGGUUGUCGGCGUGCUGCUGCUGGAAGUCCCGCUCGAACAUCCAACAUCCGAGCUCGAACAUCCAACAUCCACACUCCCAGUCCCACAAAGAGCCCGCUCGUCAAGCGCACCGCUCUCAGUCUUCACGGAUGCGGAAAUUGCAUGGGUUAACAAAAUAAGAGCAUCAAUGUCCAUUUUUUUUUCCAGUUUAACCGGGGAUUUUGAGAAGCUCACCAAAUAAAUAUGUUCUUAAACUCUCA